GAUGUAAGUCGUCUUAUCGCUUCAUAUUUUGAAGAGGAAAGUCCGGACAAUACAGAGCAUUAUACUUCUUAACUGGAAGGUCUCUAUUGAGAACAGAUAGUGCAACAGAAAAUAAACCGCCAAUUUGGUAAGGGUGAAAAGGUAAGGUAAGAGCUUACCGGUCAGGUAGUGAUAUCUGAUGCUUUGUAAACCUUAUAAAUUGAAAGAUCAAGCAAUUCGAGUGUUAAUACAUAUAGUUGCUCGCUAUAAAUCGAAUGGGUAGAUUGAUUGAACUUAGUAGCAAUAUUAAGUCUAGAUAAAUGAUAAGAGUCUGAUAAUAUCAGAUACAGAAUCCGGCUUAUAGACUUACUUUUUUU
rnacentral:RNase_P_RNA from 1 species